rnacentral:rRNA from 1 species
CUUAGUACGGCGAGUGAGCGGUAAAAGCUCAAAUUUGAAAUCUGGUACUUUCAGUGCCCGAGUUGUAAUUUGUAGAAUUUGUCUUUGAUUAGGUCCUUGUCUAUGUUCCUUGGAACAGGACGUCAUAGAGGGUGAGAAUCCCGUUUGGCGAGGAUACCUUUUCUCUGUAAGACUUUUUCGAAGAGUCGAGUUGUUUGGGAAUGCAGCUCAAAGUGGGUGGUAAAUUCCAUCUAAAGCUAAAUAUUGGCGAGAGACCGAUAGCGAACAAGUACAGUGAUGGAAAGAUGAAAAGAACUUUGAAAAGAGAGUGAAAAAGUACGUGAAAUUGUUGAAAGGGAAGGGCAUUUGAUCAGACAUGGUGUUUUUUGCAUGCACUCGCCUCUCGUGGGCUUGGGCCUCUCAAAAAUUUCACUGGGCCAACAUCAAUUCUGGCAGCAGGAUAAAUCAUUAAGAAUGUAGCUACUUCGGUAGUGUUAUAGCUUUUUGGAAUACUGUUAGCCGGGAUUGAGGACUGCGCUUCGGCAAGGAUGUUGGCAUAAUGGUUAAAUGCCGCCCGUCUUGA